AGAGUUUGAUCCUGGCUCAGGAUGAACGCUAGCUACAGGCUUAACACAUGCAAGUCGAGGGGAAACGACAUCGAAAGCUUGCUUUUGAUGGGCGUCGACCGGCGCACGGGUGAGUAACGCGUAUCCAACCUGCCCACCACUUGGGGAUAACCUUGCGAAAGUAAGACUAAUACCCAAUGACGUCUCUAGAAGACAUCUGAAAGAGAUUAAAGAUUUAUCGGUGAUGGAUGGGGAUGCGUCUGAUUAGCUUGUUGGGCGGGGUAACGGCCCACCGAAGGCGACGAUCGAGUAGGGGUUCUGAGAGGAAGGUCCCCCANAGUUGGAACUGGACGACGACGGUCCAAAACGUCCGUACGGGAGGCA
rnacentral:rRNA from 1 species